UGCCCAUCCCGAGUGCCACGGCCCGUAUCCCACACGCAGGCUGCUGCCGGGGGGUGCUGGGCGCUGCCUCGCUCCUGCCUGGCCCCCCCCCCCAAAACGGCCCGGCGGGAAGGAGGGAUGCUCCUGCCGUGGUCCCACACCAUGGGGAAGGGCUCUCCUCCUGCAGCCCCAACGUGCCAUCCUUAAGCGGCCACGGAGAAGGGCACAGCCGGUCGAUGGGAUUUGGCCGGGUCCUCUGUGUGCUUGGACAUCCCUCUGCCUGUCCAGCCUUGCUGCUGGGUACGUGACCCCAGCAUGUGCUGCAAGCCCCGCUCCCCAUUCCAGCCCAGCGAAGCACCUGCUUUUCUGGCCAAACCAGACUCCAGCAGCCAGGUCGGGAGUCUGGGUGUGAUGGUAUGAGCACACGGUGUCCUUCCCUGAAGCUCCUGCCUGCUCACAGCUCAGUCUUGUCCUGCUCCCGGAGCCUGCCGGCACCCCCGAAAGUAGAGCAGGACGUGGGAAGGGAGAAGUCGUGGCUGAGCAGGGCUGGAGAGAUGCAGCUCUACAAGGACAUCCAUCUCCUGCACUGUCCAUUCCCGGGCCAAAGGGGCUGAGCUAGUGUGUAGCAAGGGGGCAGGGGCAUAAUAAGGGAUGCAGGGAGGUUUCACAGAGGCCAGAAGUGUUUUCUCUAACUCUGUGUUUGUUUGUGCUCAGGUCAGAGCCUUCCCAGCCCCGGAGAGGUGCUUGCUGCCGAGGAGCUGCUUACUUUGGCCUCAGCUGAGAGGCCUCAGCCCAGGGUAAAGAAGCCCCAAACACUGCCCUGUUUGUGCUUCGGGAAGGGGCGUUUGUGGCUGUCCUGUCACGGUGGGAGCAGGCGAAAGAGCUGAAGGUUGUUUUCACCCCAGUGCCUGCCACAGGGGAUUCUCCAAACAGGAUCCCACCUCAUCCAGAUACGUGCAGAGCAGCAGGUUAGAUUCCCUGGAUCAGGUCUGUGUUCUGGUCCCAGGGAAUCCUGGGCCACCAGCAGUGUGUGAGCCAGGAGGUGCAUCCCCUGUGCAGUGAUGUCCUUGCUGUGGGCAGCCCGUGACACCGAGGGAUGCUCCUGGGCCCCUCCGGCACAGCCCCUGCUCAUGGCCUCACCACCCAGCCCCCUGAGCCCUCCUGUCCUUCACAGCAUCUUCCAUCACCCAGGAAACCUUCUUGCAAGCUCAGGCUGGACAUUAUGGGAGCACUAGAAGCUCCUGGUGGGGAUGUCACUGGUAUCAGUAUCCAAGCUCCCUGUCCCAGGGCACAACCUGCCAUAUGGAGAGGAUCCUGCCCCAGGAUGCAAGCUGGAAAUUUGCUGCAGACCCCAUAGAUGCAUCCCCAGGUGGACGGCCCCUACUCAGGACAGAGAAGACCUAAAUGCUGGUGAGUUGCCAUUUUCCCUUGUGGCAGCAUCUGAGGGACAGAGGGGACAGGGUGGGCAAGACUUGGGAGCUUACGAGGGAGAACAGGGACAAUGGGAAGGGAGACAGUGGGAAGGAGCAGCCAGAGAAGGGGGAAACUUGUACCCUCCCAGACAAUGAGCUGAGAUGAGGAGGUGCAAAGGCUGCUGGAGAAACCCAGUAAUGCUGCUCAAGGCUGGGCAGAGCAUCCAGGAAAUUGGGAUGGGGUCUGAGGAGCCUGGGCUGGACUGGCAUCUGCCAGGGCAAGGUUUAGGAUUCACUGAGCAGAGGGAGAAGGAUGUGACGACUGCUGUGGAACUCAGUUGAGUACCUGGGGUUGGAGAGGUGCGAUGUGGCACACGUUUACAGGGGCGUGACCUCUGGAAGUCACAGUAUGUGGGGUAGCUGUGAAACUGAGCUUCCUCAGUCCUGGCAUUUCCAGUCUGCACGGAUCAGGGAAGCCUCAUGGCAAAACACCCUCCUCACUGCCCACUCUGGGCUCUGGGGAGAGGGACAAGCCAGCCCAGCCAUGGCCCUGCCCAGCUCCAGGGCAGGGGGCAGCAGGGGCCUCUUCUGUAGGGGAACUGCAUGAAGGCCAAAGUAUCAUGUAGUAAAGAUGCUUUUGUUUUCUAAUCUGCUUAAAAAAAAGUUUCCCAACCCUAGGAAACUGGAUGUCAGCAGUGUGCUCUGCCAGCUGCAGCGUGCUCCAAGGUGGGCCAAGUCCAACCUUCAGCUGCCCAGGGGGGCUCAGACAGCAGCUGUAGGGAAGAACCUGGGGGGACCAAGGCACCCACCACCUCUGUUCACCUCACUGGAAGCCCCUCGUCCCACACCACAUUUCCAUCAUGUGAUCAAGAGUUAAUCUUGACUGUCUGUGUCUCAGCUGCCAGGAGCAUUUGGACUUUCCCUGUUCUGCCAGCCCUGUCAGAUGGCAGGAGAAGCUCCUCGGCUGCCGACCACAUUUGUCUUCUCCAGCAGGCAGUGGCCUCUGCACUGGUGUCACAGCACUGAGCCGAGAUGCUGCUGAAGGUUGUACCCAGAACACCUGCCAGCCGGGCUAGGAGGAGGUGGGUCCCUUCUUGAAGCCAUUUUCCAUCCAUUCCCAAGCACUGGCUGUAGGAAAUGGUGUUUUCUGCUAUGCAGAGGCUUCGUGGUUCUGAAACAGGGCCGGGAGAUGCUGAGGCUUCCCGCUGUACCCUGCCUAGGCAUCCCUGCUGGAGCCCAGAGGGAUCUCCUGUUUCUAGACAAAGUUGAAAUUUCAAUGAAGCCACAUGAAAUGAGCAAAUCAAAUACAAGUGUUUUCAAAAGUGGCA